UGGGGAAUUUUGGACAAUGGGGGAAACCCUGAUCCAGCCAUCCCGCGUGUGCGAUGAAGGCCUUCGGGUUGUAAAGCACUUUUGGCAGGAAAGAAACGUCGCGGGUUAAUACCCCGCGGAACUGACGGUACCUGCAGAAUAAGCACCGGCUAACUACGUGCCAGCAGCCGCGGUAAUACGUAGGGUGCAAGCGUUAAUCGGAAUUACUGGGCGUAAAGCGUGCGCAGGCGGUUCGGAAAGAAAGAUGUGAAAUCCCAGAGCUUAACUUUGGAACUGCAUUUUUAACUACCGGGCUAGAGUGUGUCAGAGGGAGGUGGAAUUCCGCGUGUAGCAGUGAAAUGCGUAGAUAUGCGGAGGAACACCGAUGGCGAAGGCAGCCUCCUGGGAUAACACUGACGCUCAUGCACGAAAGCGUGGGGAGCAAACAGGAUUAGAUACCCUGGUAGUCCACGCCCUAAACGAUGUCAACUAGCUGUUGGGGCCUUCGGGCCUUGGUAGCGCAGCUAACGCGUGAAGUUGACCGCCUGGGGAGUACGGUCGCAAGAUU
rnacentral:rRNA from 1 species